ensembl:lncRNA
AUGGAUGGAACCCCUACCCUGACCUGCUGGUACACAAAUAACCAUAGCACGGACAUACACAUCCAGGAAGGCUUCAUGGAGGAAUCCGUAAAUGAGCUUGGGGAAAGUCAAGAACUUCAGCUUGUUUCAGGCUGUACAGUAGUCACAGACUUACAUCCCACAGGGGUGGUGGAGAGGCAAGAAUGGCCCAGGGCUAGAAUCUGAACAUCCCACGGGAUUCCUUGGCCCAGUCUCUUCCUGUGGGUGGGCUAAGAAUGGCUCUUCAUUGUAAAUGAGGUGGUGAACCCAGGAUGCUUGUGUUGCUUUGAGUCCCAAAUAUCUACAAGUCUUUGUUCUUCUUUGAUUAGAAAGAAAAAACAUUCUCCUCUUGUUAGGCUUUCAUCACUUAUGCUGUACAUUCAUGUGUUAACUAAGCANNNNNNNNNNNNNNNNNNNNNNNNNNNNNNNNNNNNNNNNNNNNNNNNNNNNNNNNNNNNNNNNNNNNNNNNNNNNNNNNNNNNNNNNNNNNNNNNNNNACUUAUGCUGUACAUUCAUGUGUUAACUAAGCAUUUCCCCUUAAAUAAAUUGUUUUGACAUUUCUUUGUGUUGCUUCUGAUCCAUUUAAUAAAUGCAGCUGAGGUCUCUGCCGCCCAUGGCUAGACAGGCAGAAGGAACAAACUUAGCCAGGCUAGCCUAGGGAGCCUUCACUUCUCAGCAAGAUGGAAAGAUUCCUGACAGCAAAUAAGAGGUUGAAAAAGGCCUCCAGGGGUGACAUUUUUGCAAUCUUUUUGGAGGGUAACCCCCUUUAUUCCUGGAAAGCAUGAAAUGCUUGCCAUUUCCAGAAGUUACGCAUCUUUGGAGAGAGCAAAGAGAAGCUCUCAUUUUGCUAAUAGCAAACCUCAGGUGAAUUGUUAAGGGACUUCUGAUGACAAGAGGUGCUUCCAGUAAAGAGCUGGAAUAAUUGACCCCAUGGAAAAUGUACUUAGUGAAGCAGAAAGGACAGGUAAAACCAUAGUUAGCAGAUAAAUGGAGAAAACAACUUGAAGUCUAUGUGCUGAUAGCUACAAACUCUUUAAGCAGUGGAUGUCAAAAUCCAUCCUACUGCAACCCGGUGCCAAGCCUUUCCCAUCAUACUUGGACUUUUCUGGUGGUCCAGUGGUUAAGACUCCACCUGUCAGUGCAGGGGACAUGGGUUCAACCCCUGAUCCAGAAAGAUUUCACAUCCCAUGGGUAGCUAAGCCCAUGUACUGCAACUACUGAAGCCUGUGUGCCUAGACCAGCACUCUGCAACCAGAGAAACCACUGCAAUGAGAAGUCCACGCACCACAGCUAGAGAGUAGCCUUCGCUCACCACCACUAGAGCAAGCCCUUGCACAGCAACGAAGACCCAGAACAGCCUAAAAAUAAAUGAAUGAAAUUUACAAAAUACAUCCUACUUAGGGUACUGUUUCUUUAAAUGUGGUCCUAGAGAAGAAGGGGUGUCUUUGCUGUAGCCCUGCUUCAAAUUGAGUAGCACAUUGUCAGGCUCUUUCACAUUCAUGCUGCUUUUAGUGAACUGCGGCAGUGAUAUUUAUUAUUCUUUGUGAGAGGCUAUGUUGAGGCCCUUUGGGCAUCGUGCUCAUAAAUUAAUAUUUAUGCUGAAGAUUAAUAAAACUGAAGUGAAAAAAAGUGGACUUAAAAUUAAACUUUAAAAAGCCCUUCAAUCUGUAAAUCCAUUUCCAGUGAAAGGGAUGGAGGAGCAGUUAGUAACAUGCAUAUUCUGAAGCAUUUAUCAGUAGGCAAAUCUCUUAAUUGUAACCAUUAUAUUCUGUUAUGAGUGAUCCACUAAUUUCUCAAUUUCAUUCUCCGCUGUUUCUCAUUCAAGCUUAUUCUUGGUGUCUUUUUUUCCUCUCCAAAUGCCUAGCUCUUUAGAUACAGAAGGGGAAAAAAACAUCUUGUGAAACAAUCUACUUUUCCUUUUUUCUUUUGUAUUCUUGUAUACUCAUAUCCUUUCAGUUCCAUAUGAAAGAAAGUAAUCAAAAAAUUUAAGCAAGCAAAUUCUAUUCUACUUACAUGCCGUGACCUAAAUCAACUGCCUACUAGUCUUCUAAUUGAAUUUUCAAAGAUCUUCAAAGAGUCACACUGGAUAUAUAUCAUAAUUAAUGACCCUCAAUAUUAGAAAAGUUUUUUUCUGAAAGCACUCCUGUUGUGGCUUUAAUGUAUAUUCUUUGCUCUGUUGCAGUACACCCUCCAUAGAUAAUAAUAACAUAUAUUCACACAGCACAAAUUCAGGUUAACUCUUGACAAAGCUUCCUUCUGGGCACAGAGGGGUUAACAGGUUCUCAACAGUGAGGUGAAUGCUCAAGGGAUGUUUGGCAACAUCUGGAGACAUUUUUGAUUGCUACAACUUGAGAGGUGCUACUGACAUCUGGUGGGUAGGGGCCAGGGAUGCUGCUAAAGACCUUAAAAUGCACAGGACAGUGACUGCAACAGAGAAUUGUUCAGACUGAAGUGUCCACAGUGCCCAGGUUGGCAAAUCCUGGAUUUGGAGGAAUACGGGCUGCAGGGUAAGGAAGAGAACCUCGGAAACAGCUACAGGAAAUUGAACUCCGGUAUCAACUGUGCGGUUUAAACGGUUCAGCAUCUCAUGG